GCAGCGGGGGCUGGCGCCGGGGGCGAUCCGCAGCCCCGGCGGCGCAGCCCGCGCGGGAGGGGCGGGGGCUCCGUCGCGGCCUGUUGUGGGGCCGAGCGCGGGCGGGAGCGAGGAUGUCUGAGUCAGAGCUGCAUCCUCCGAUGAACGAAUGCCAAAACUCCCUCCUCGGUCGCUCUCCCCCACCCCGACCUCCGGUUUCUUCCUCACGACCGUCGAUGCUCUCGGCAUGCAUGUUCUUUGUGAACCUUAAACUGAGCACAUUUUCGCCACAAGCUGCGCGAAAAGCCGGACAGACCCGCCGGAUCUCACACACGCAGAGGAACUUACUGAGGGGCGGGGAAGAGGGGGGCGAGCAAAGAGCGGGAGCUUUGGCCGAGACCCGCUCAGGAGGUUUUGACUGAAUCUCUCAGUAAGACACUCGAGGCUGAGAAUCUUCCCCGAAGCGUUUAGGACUCAUAUAUAAGGCAAGUGGGAGAGAGCUUCUUUCCUUAAAGCAAGUGGGACAGCACAACGCGUUUAGCGGGGAACGAGACGAGCAGCGAACGAGCCUCGUUUGCCCUUGAGGGAACGGCGCUCAGGAGCAGGAAUAGCGUGCUUCCAUCCGGACCAGCGGCGCUGGCAAAGCCAGGAGCUCGCUCAGCGUUUCGGGGCAGAUGCAGCUUCUGCCAUUUAUACCAAGCCCUUCUUCCUGCCACCAUAUCUCCUCCCAGGUCCCUGCUCUGCCCGCACGCCGCCCUGUCUCCCCUGCCCGACUUCAGCCCCUCCAGCGAUACGGCUGAUUGAGGGAGGGGAGGCGGCGGCUGGGGUUUCAUUCGACGCCCACCAGGGGCUGAGCGAGCCUCCUUCAGUGCGCAAACUCGGGGCACCAGAUAAAAGCUGGGCUGGCAGCUCUUACCCUGCCUCGAUGGAGCCGCAACAUUCGGGUGACUGGAGAAGCAGUUAGCAGCAGCGCCAUAGACUAGCGUCCCCCCACACCUUGAGCACAGAGAGUUUGGGGCUCUAAACAGCUGCUGCUGCGGCAGGAGGGAGCCGAGGGCGCUUGGCUGGGGCUGCUCGCUCGGGUUCUGCCUGUUGUUGCGCGAAAUGGCGGCUGGCGUCUUGCAGGGGCAGCCGCAGCUGGGCAGGGUCGGGAGCUGCCGGGGGAGGCAAAGGGAGAAAACGGGCGCCAUGAUCCCAGCGCCAGGGAGGAACUCCGCGGGCAAGGCGUCCGCGAAGAGCUGGUGGAAAAGGAAAGGAGAACCAGGCCUGGGCUUCUUCCCAAACAGUGCUGGGGCUGUGCGGAGAGGAGCGGGGGAAGAGCGAGAGGGGAGCAACUCGUGUCUGCCUUUGUAACUGCGUCAGUACAAGAUGGCGCAGGGUGUCCCUGGAGAGGGAAGGGAGUUGCACGUCCGCCGGAGGUCAUGUGACCGCGUUGCAUUCCUGUGGGGUUUGGCUGCGGACCAAGCUGGCUUAGGCGGCGGCGGCUGCCCGGGACAGCCCGGGCUUCCCCCCCCUCCUCCCGCACCACGCCGUCGGUCCCGCGCUGGUUCCCUUCCCCCAUCAGUCUUGUGCACGAGGGUGUAGCUGCUGCCGAGGAAGGUUCUCGCUUCUCUCCUUACUCUCCACCCACCUCCAGGGUGUAGCUGCUCUCGGGGGAAGCUUUCCAUUCCGCCCCCUCUCUGCGCAAGGCUUUACCCACCGCCAGGGAAAGUUCCCCCUGGGCGCCUGCUGGCUCCGCCCGAGCGUGGGAGCCGGGUGCGCUCACGGUGGUGCCCGCCCGGUGCGAGGGCACUCUGCUCCCGGUUAGGCUCCCGGGGUCACGGAGUGGUUCCUACCGAAACAGUCGGUUUAAGCGAUGUUUAAAUGACCUCAUUAAAGCCGCUGAGGAAAACGCACAGGCUAUGCGGAGUUGUUCUUCUGACGAGGAGGUCGUGGCUGCUCCGUUGUUGCUCUGCCGGGAGUACUGGGCGGGGGGGGGCCAAGGGAGAAUCUGCGAGGUGUUCAUGACUUUAUUCUGUUUGAACAGGAAAAGUGGAUCACUGUUCUUGUGUGUUGUUGGAUCCUGUUGUAGGGUGUUGAGCAGCUUUUCUGUGGGGCGAUGUGUGUAUUCCGAAGUCAGGUCACAGGGGCCUGUUUCUAUAACACAGGAAUUGAUGUAUAUACUUAGUGCUGAUGAAAACUGUGGUUUGCGAAUAUUGUGAGGACUCCCCAUGUUGUAUUUUCUGAGGUUCAUAGGCAAAUGAACUCGUUACACAGGUCUGGGUAGGCUUGGAAGAUUGGUAAAUAUAUUUUCUGGGUCUUCUGUUUUUUAAAUAUUUUGAUGCAGGGGAAGUGAAAAAUGUAUGUUUACCAAUCCUAAUGCUUUUCUUUAAGGAAUUCAAAUCUUACUGUUUGGGUGAGGUUCUUGAGCUUUCAAAGCCGUGCAGUGCCAGUUCCCAUGUCUUGUUCUUGUAUGCCACGGUGUAAAUUUAGCCACUGCAUCUAACCCAAUGAACAAAUUAACAGUUAAAAUUGCUGAUGCUUUAAGGGUGGAGGUUUAUUCUAUUUAAAAAUGUUUCACUUUUUCUGUUAGUUUGUCCCCAGAUAGAUAAGAUUUUUUUUCUUUUUACUUCCCCAGUAGUAAGCUGGUAGGGGACAAAGCUUGAAUAUUUCGUGAAUGGUAUUUGAGAACUACUGGAAUGAAAGUAACAGUGUAUGACUAAUAUAGAAGAUUCCUGUAUAAUAGGUGGUCCUUAAUAUGUGUUACAUAAGUAGUAUGGUGAGGUGGAGUCCAGUUACAUAAGAACUGACUGGGGCCUUUGGAGUUACUCUAACUAGUCCAUAUUGGUUGCAUAUACAGCCUGCAGGGCAUCCCUAUGUUGUGGGAGGAGGGGUAGAAGAACAGGAUUGGAAGCAUCUAAUAGCACUACAUUUUUCCUUUGUAGGUUAUAUAGAGGAUACCAGGAAAGAAAGAGAGAAGGCAGUAAUUAAGAAUGACACAGUGUGAAGCUUUCAAAAGUCCGGAGUCUCAUUUGAGUUUACCUUUUAGGACAUAAGCUCAGUUUCAGCAGCUCCCCUUUUUUUGAGUGUCUGAAGGUGGCUGUCAGCUGAGCAUUGUGCCAACCUAGUUCUGUGCAUACUAGUAUAAAGAACAGGAUUCUUGAGUCCUAGAGGUUAUGGGCUUUCUUUUUUUUUUUUUUUUUGAGGGGGGAAAGGUGGCUUCCUGGAAAUGGUGUUAGGAGGAGGCAGUUGGUUUGUUGACCACUGGAUUACUGAUUCUUCUUGUGUAGUCAUAGUCUGACACAAGGAAAAUACUCACUUUGUAAUGGAAUCUUCCAGAGGGGCUUUCAGUGUACAAUGACUCGUUUAAUACAGAACAGAUUUAUGUGUGAAUACUCUUUGCAGAUGUGUUAAAGGAAGAACAUUAAUUUGAACUAAAAGAUGAGGAAAACCCCCAUAUUUUUAUUAGUACUUACAUUUAGGCUUGUGUUCUAUAAUUAUGAAACAGGGAGUAAUUGCCUACCUCACUGUAAGAGACUUGUUUGAAUGCUUAUGUUAUAGAAUACCUGGGAAUGAAAAACUUAAAAAUGGCACCUAGAGUUUUAAUUCUUAAAGCAGCCUUUUAGGUAGCUCACUUUUGUAUCAGAUUUUGCUUGGAAACCAAGAAAUGAACUACUUUGAGAGUUCUCUGUAACUGGCAGCUUAUUGCAGCAGUAUUUGAACAGAGGUGUGGCUGUGCUUUCAUGAAGCUAUAGAAAUGAAGACAAGUUUUAAUGAGGUAAUAAUUUCUUGUUUGUUUCUAGGUUGUUUUUAUUAGCUGUUCUCAGGGAAGCAGUAUUAGUUAUCUUGAAAGAAACAGUAGCUCCAGCAGUGUUGCAGUGCAGUCUCAAAACAACGGCUGAUGUAUUCUGAACUACUGCCGAGGGCGAUGAGUAAAAACCAAAUGCGCAUACUUCUCUGAGACGGAAACCUUAGGGGAGGGGAUUUGCCCAAAGGCCAGUCUGAUGCAAGCUGUGUGUUAAUCUGGAAGGAAAGGGGAGGGAAAAGAGCUGUAGGAGGGGGAGACUGGGUAAAAACGGGCACGUAGUUUACAUUUUAUGGUCACAGCUUACCAGGGAGAGUAACAACUACAAUUCGCUCCUUUAAUGAGGAUAUUUCAGUUGGCUGGACGUUAUCCAGCAGUUACCCAGCAGUUAAGAGUUGUGGUUCUGACUUGCCGUGGAAGCCUGUCUGUGCAUGUAUAUGUGGUCUGAGCCUUUGCGAAGACCUGUUAUUUAAACACUGUUGUUUACCUUUAGCCUACAAAGGGACUGACAGGAUUUCAAGGGUAUUUAGGGGAGAAAGGAGAGGGAUACUAACAGUGUAAUAGAUCAGAGUAUGCAUUAAUGUCAUAGCUGAAACAGUUGAAGUGGUGCCCAUGCUGAAAGAUGAUCCUGCACCUUUUCUCAGCUGUUCAUUCCUGCUUCUGUAAGUGGGUGGGGGGGGAGGGGGGGGAAGUAUAGUGAGGAAUGGAUCUAACAUAAGCCUAAUUGUAAUGGACGGCUUUCUAAUGUGAAUGUUCAUUGUGUGGAUUCACAAAUGCUUCUGUUUGAAAAGGAGUAGAAAGAAGCAGCUGCUGGGAAAAUGGAGAUGUGCAGGUUUUUAUUGUUAGUGAAGUUAGGUAUGCUUUUUCUCACCAAAGAUACAAUUAUUAGGGAAUUUUGACAGGCAGUUCUUAAAGGCUGGUGUAACUAGAAUCACUGCUGGGGUAUUCAAUGAAAAAUUGUUCCUACAGAAUGAGUUCCAAGCUAGUUAUAAAAUGUGAUACUUGUGGGUCACAGUGGUCACUAGUCAAAUGAAUUUGCAUUAUUUGCAUGUAGUAAAGGAGGUCUUAGUGACUGACAGCCAAUCAGUUUAUCCACCUGGGUAUGGAAAAACUGUGUUCAACACUCAAACAGCAGCACGACAGGAACUUCCUUUGCACACCACUUCAGGCUUUGUGUUACAAUGAGCCCUUCUGAAAAAGUUGUGACUGGUAAGGUUUUUCUUUAGGAGGAAAACAGGUUAUUGGCUGGUCCUACAAUUCUUAACAGUUGAGUUCCUCACUUAAAGGGAGCAACUUUAAAGCUGUUGUGUGGCCUCCUAAUCCUGGGAUUAGUGGGAAUUUGCACCAGGUUCAGCUCAUUGCUAUGACCUUUGGGUAGUGAAGUGGGGCAGUGGUUUGUUUUCUCCUUCUAGCCUGACCUUGUUAUUUGAAGUAGUCUUUCUGAUGAACUUCUGGUUGCUUUGGAGAGCAGUACUAAACUCCGUGUAGUUACUUUUAUAAGUGAGAUAGUGCUCAGACCCAAUUAUAAUGCAGUGCAAGCCCUAUCAGUAACAAUUUGAUGAAGAUGCUGAAAAUAACCAAUGGUUCCUGAGUAAUAUAAGAUUUUUGAGGAUCUCUAGGAAGAAAAUGGGGGGAAAUACUGCCAUUUUUGGAGACUUGGGCUGUGCUAGAGUUGGGAAGUUACUGAAUUGUGGGCUCCAGCACCCCAGAAGUGCAGCUGAAGGUGUUCCUGUCACAGGAGGUGUUUGUGUUCCUUGUAAGCUUAGAAACUAAGCAAAUCUUAGCUGCUAUAUUUGUGUGCUUAUUAAGUGUUGCACAGAAGAGGUCCCUUAUCUCUGCUGAAGAUUCUUGUUGUGACCGCUCUGUCUGCAAGCUUGUUAAUAUUGCAUGGUCAUGCAGUGGAUAUUACUCAAAAGUAGAAAUGCAGCUUGAUUGCAGCAGUAUAUUGUGUCUCUUCAAAGGUUUAGCUUUUGAGGACUGCUGUAGUCCUACUCAGUGUGGUCUGUUAGGGCUCAGAGAGUUUCAGAAGUACUCAACAGGAUGAGAGAGCUGGGGUUUUUGAACAUGGAGAAGAGAAGGCUCUUGGGGAGACCUCAUUGCAGCCUUCCUGUAUUUAAAGGAGGCUUAGGAAAAAUAGAGUGACUUUUUGCAUGGGCAGAUAGUGAUAGGACAAGGGGAAAUGCAUUUAAACUAAAAGAUGAGAUACUUAGAUUGGAUGUUAGGAAGAGAUUCUUAGAGGGUUGUGAGGCACUGGAAUAGGUUGUCUGAAGAAGUUGUGGAUACCCCAUCCCUGAAAGUUCUUAAGGGUAGGUUAGAUGGGGCCCUGAAUAAGCUGGUCUAGUGGAAGAUGUCCCUGCCCAUGGCAGGGGUGUAGGAACUAUAUGAAGUUCCUUUCCAACCCAAACCAUUGUAUGAUGUCUGACAGCAGAAUGGUGCACUCAGAAUGGGUAGCUUUCUGACAUUGAGUACUACUGGCUAUAAUAAUGGAUUUGUUUCCAGCAGACUUCAGUAGAUUGGCAACUAAUAAAGUUUUGUAUUGGUGGAGUUUGAUUCUUAGUAUCUUGUCUAAAGAAAGCAGUAUCUGUCUUUCAUCCAGUUGGUUGUCAUGUGUAUGGAUCUUUGAUAGCUGCUUGAUCCAAUCUUAGUACAACUGCUAUAGAUGAACCAAAUACGAGUCCAAAACUACCUUAUGUGGCAGAUAUGGGAUGUCAGAACUAGUAGGGAGGGCACAAGAAAAGCUGAAGAGCUAGCUGGGAAACAAGCAUUAACAUCCAGUUCUUGUGCUAAACUCCCUCCUCCCAUAUUCCUGCCUUUACUUAGCAGGUUAGAGGAUUGUCAAAUUUUAGUGAAAUAAGGCAAAAAAAAUUGGAGAUGUAGGACUGUGCCUCUUUAUUAGUGCAGACAAAGCAAUCCCUUGAAGAGACUGAGACUAUAUCUGGUCAUGAUACUGAGAUAGGAGUUGAAUCUGUAGCUUAAGAGAUCUUUUACCAGCUUUAUUCUGGGGUAAGUGCUCAACUGUGCUGCUUUUGGUUGUGCUGCUUUGUUUUGGGUCACAGUGUUUGUGGCCCAGUGUUGUCAGGCCGAUGAUAGAUUGUGCAAUGUGGUCUUAUCUGCUGAGCCAGGGUAAGCUGUCUCAAAUUCCAUCCAGAACAACUAUGGGCCUUCUAAUUAGAGAAUUUUAUAGGAACAUGUUACUAAAUGUCAUUGUCACAAAUAUCACAAAUACGAUUUAGAAGACUAGUCUUCAUAAAGUGAAACUAUUUCUUUUAUCAGAGUGGUGCUACACUUUGAAUUCAUAUCCAAAGCUGUGCUCCAUUACCCCAGCAUACGUGUGCUGGAACAAGCUCAUAAGCUUAUAAAGGCAUGCUGGGCAGUUGUCAGAUCCUAUUUUUAAACUGUUUCUGAGAAACACUUCUGUCUCCUAUCUCUGCGUGGUCAUAGGAAAGGCUAUACUUCAUGCAGGAGCCACAAUGUCUGGGCUCAGCUAACAAUAAUUUUUGAACUUGAGCAUGUCCUCUUCAGAGGUAGUAGAAUUGAAUCUGCACUGGGAAGGAGUGAUGACAAUAACUAGGAAAUAGUGGUAAUGGGCUAUUGAGUCCUUGACUGUCAGUACCAAUAAUAAAAGAUACAGGUCUCUUCACUCUUGUGACCAGUGACAGAACUCGAGAAGUGGCAUGAACUGUGUCAGGGGAGGUUUAGGUUAAGUAUCAGGGAAAAGUUUUUCACCCAGAGGAUAGUUGAGCACUGGAACAGGCUCCCCAGGGAAGUGGUGUCAGCACCAAGCUGAGUUCAAGAAGCAUUUGGACAACACUCAAGGCACAUGUUGUCGUUCUUGAGGAUGGUCCUGUGCAGGGCUAACAGUUGGAUUUGAUGAUCCUGAUGGGUCCUUCCCACCUUGGCAUAUUCUGUGAUUCUAGCUCUAUGGUGCUUGACAGUCUAGCCAAACUUUAACAGGAAUCCUGAUGGCUAAGUGUGAGAGCACCUGCUUUGCUAUUCUCAAGGGAGGACAAGAAGAGCUGGAACACUUAUGGGGUCUCUCCUUGUGAGUCUUCAACAUAUCAUGUUUGCUUAAUCUGCUACUGAUUUGCAGUAACCAAUUUACUAUAAUUGUGUGACACUACUGUAUGCCACCUUUGAAUUUUCACUAACGUUAGAAAAUUGUAUAAAAAUGCAAUUGGGUUUCAUAGGCAAGCAGAGCUAGUAUUUUAAGGCUUUUUCUCCCUGUGUCUAACAUUGCCUCCUUUAGACUAGGCCUGAAAUACAGACACUAUAUGUGAGUGUUAACAUACUCCUGCUAUACCGGGGCAGGAAUUGCAAAACUGAAAGACCACUUCAGAGAAUAUAUGUUAUAUAGCUUGGGGCAAAAAGUAAAGAAUACUGGUGAAGCAUUUAGACUUGAUUUUGUUUGUCUCUUAAAAUUGACAGACGGGGAUAUUUCAAACUGGAGAAAGUACUAUGAACAGGAAGAAAAAAAAUCAUGCUGCUAUAAAAUGAAUUAUACAGCGUAAAAUCAACAUACUGGGUUCUUUGUGUCUUAGAACUCUUUUGAGACACUCCUGGGACUCUGCAGUUGCUAGUGUAGACCUAAUUGAUGGGAGGGAAUCAUAAUUUCAAAGCAUUAUUAGGACUGUAGCCUGAAGGCUGUAGCUAAGCCUGCACUAUUUGUAAGAGUUGACAGUACAGGGUCUUCUGGUUUUUCUUUUUCUAGAACAGGCAAACUGUUUUUCCACACUUUCUGCAGAUUGUCCUUUACAAAUAGUGCACUGCAGAUUGUGGACUACAAAUAUUAGUGGCCUUAUAAGUGCAGCUGUUGUCUAAAUUGGUUUGUCUUGUCUUGUGUUUUAAUAAUCUGGUUCCCGUUAGAGUAAAUUGAAGUUGUUAACAGAAACCAAGGAGAAGAGCAGCUAUCUGAAUUUUACCUUGAGGCUAAGUGUUAGUGCUUAUAGAAGGGAGGGAAACUUAUCAUCAGACCCAUUUUAACCUCAUCCUACAGUUAGCAAAGCAGGGGGUAAUCUGUUUGAAGGGUAUAAUACCUUUUGUCUGUUUACUUAACCGGCCCUUCAUAUUUCAGUAAUGCAAUGACACUGAAAUGGGUUCUAGAACUGUUUCCUCAUGUAAAACAAAACAAACUCCCUCAAUUCCACAUAUUUCUGUAAGCUAGUAAGAAUAUUCAUAUACUUGGGUCCUCUUUCUGUUCAGUGUAAUGGCUCUGCCUUACCUACUCUGAUCAGGUCUGUAGGCUUCAAAUUUCUUCUAUGAUUAAUUCUCACAUCCUUCCAAUGUAUUUUGUAAAUAACAUAUCACAAGUAGGCAGAGAUUGAGCUGUCUACAAAUGCUGGUUCCAUACAGAAGUGGCUUGCUGAAAAAUGCUUGUGUGUGUCUGUAGAUGCUGCAUAAAGGUUGGAUUUUUCCCUGUAAGCCACCUAUUUAUUGAAAAAAGUGUUUUGCUCUGGGUACCUGUUUUUUUGCUUGAAUAGUGUUGAGCAACAUUUAUGUACUGAUUGCACUCAGUAGAAGUAAACUACAUUCUGUUUAGAAUGAACAUAUUAGUAUGUGUAAAAUAUCUGUUGCAUCUUUCUAGAAAUAACAUGUUGCAGUCUUGGAUCACAUUUCAAAUCCAAAGUCUUUAAAGGCUAUCUGAAAUAACAGUUUAAGCAGUGGGUUUUUCUUGCAUGAUGCAAGAAUGGGUAUUGUUUUACAAUUGGUAUUCUUUAUCCUUCUGCAUCAUCAGUCCCUACUAUAGUAAUAGACAAGCAAAGAGGAACAAAACCCCUGAACUGGGUCCAACAAAGCAGGUCCAGUAGACCUCGUUUUUCUUUAUGUACAUUUCUAUGAUUCUUGGUUGAAUCAGAAUUUUGUACGUGCCCAGUUGGCACUGGAGUGAGGGAGAGGUCUUUGCUGCUUAGAAACACUUAGAACACAGUUCAUAAGCUGAAAUCUUGCUCUAUUUGUCAUAUGAUAAAUAAAGAUGAGAUGUUUCAAUAAACUCAUUUGCUUUUCCCUUACAUGAGACUGAAGUAAGCAUUUAUUUUAGUAUGUAUUGGGUCUCAUUAAGCAGGAGCAUGUCUGACAUGAUACCUUUUUGAAACUCCCUUAGUAUCAAAUACCUGAUGCUCAACUGGAAAUGUUCGAAGGGGACUCCUGGUCUUUCUGACUGUUAAAGGGAAAAAACAAGAAUUGAAUAUAUUCUUCUGAAAACAGAAUGCACAUACACAUUAUAUACCUAUUUAACCUGUUUAAAGUAGCUGUUUUUCAGCACAUGCAAGCUGAAACAGUGAAAGCACAAAAUACCAAUAUAUGUGAAUGACUGUGCUUAUGAUUACAGAUGACCAAAGGGAGGAUGAUGGUAACUGCAGCUCUUUAAAGGGAUGGGUUAAACCAAAGGAUGUACUCCUGAUGUUAACCAGAGAACAGAUGAUGGAAAAGUAUUCUCAUCAACAUUUGUGGGUUUUCUAAGCUAUUGUUUACUUAAUGUUUAAAAAAAUGGGACUGAAAAAAGCCUGAAUUUGAGUACAUCGUCAAUAGAACUAGCUGCAGCAAAAGGGUGGGCUGUAAGAAGGAAACCUGACUGAAAUCUGGCUCUCUUGGUUGGAAAAUAAGCAGGCCUAACCUGUAGUUCUUGAAUAUUGUACAACUUUUAAGUAGCUCAGGGCUAUGUAUGUCUCUGAUCUACUGAUCAUAGAAAUUACAAAAACAGAGGCAUUGUCUGCAACUAUGGAAUUCUGAAAGACUGGUUUAGAUGGGAUCUGCAUGUGAGUAACAUCCCUAUUUCAAGCAGUUACACUGCAUCCUGCAUCACAUGAUUCCUAGCUGUUGUGCAACAGGAAAGCCUAACUUUUUUCCAUUCAUCUUCUGGAGCUCGUGGAGGGAAACACAGAUUGGACUUGUAUUUAACUAUAACUUCCUUCCUAUUGGGAACUCACAUCUGAACUGUUACGGAUUUCUGGCCAUGUGGUAUACUUUGGUUUCCUGCCCAUAUGUGAAAUUUGAGUAAGCUUUGGAGUCUCAGGGUGGGGAGGGUGACUGGGAGACAUCUUUAUGUGCAAGUAAAGUAAUUCCAUGAUUGUCUCCUUCCCCAGCUUUCUGCAUGGGUACAACUAGGUGUUCUUUAUGGUAUAUCAUGCUCAACUGGUAGUAUGUAAGAGCUAACAAUAUAGCAUGUAAGAUUUAUUUAAGCUUUCUUAUUCUCAAACUUAAGGACUCUUUCCUUAAAAACUUAAGGUAGUUUUGCUAUUCGAAUAAGAUUCUGUGUUACUUCCAAACAUUAAAAGAAAAUGACUGGACUGGAGGCUAGCUCAAAGAAUUGCAAUUUUAUGCCUGAAUUUUCACCUGCCAAACAGACUGCCAGAAUCAGCUUGUAGGUUUUCUAUGCGGUAGAUAGAUUGUGAGAAGUACAUAAAGUAGUCAUGUAAACUGGCUGAAGAACAAGGAAGAUUGCUGAAGAAUCAGCACUACACAACAGGAAGGUGCUUAUCUUUAAUUAGAUAUACCUUUUGCUUUGAAUCCUGUUUUGGAACUGUGUGUUCAUGCCCAAUCUCCUUUUGUAGCUUUCUGAAAGGGAAGUUCUAACCAGAAAAUCAGUAGUCUUUUAAAUGCAGGAGAAACUGGAGUAAGGAAGCCUGUGAGCAUGCAUGCCUCCAAAGUUCUGCCAGUGCUCUGUAUCACUUAAAUUCGUUUGAGUAGCAUGAUCAAUCUUGUGUUUUACAACUCUCAAUUAGUAGGAAUUUAACUUCAGUGUUUAUAGAUGGAAGUAGAAAGAACAUGAUUUAGUGCAGUCUGAUUUUUUUAUAUCUGGUUUUUCCAUAUGUAGUGUCAUGGAAAAUCCAUUUGGUAGCAGCUGACUGUAUGUAAUAAUUUCUAUUUUAUAAUGUGUGUGAUUUCCCCCCCCCCCCCCCCAUUUGCUCACUGUUUAACUUCAGGUUUUCUCCAGAAUAUUGUUACAGAGGUGUUUGUUUCCUUUGUUUUCUAAUGUGAAAGAGAGACUGCUAAAUCUGCAGAUUUUUCAAGAGAGAACAAGAGGUGCUCAAAGGGGGAAGCUGGUGCUCAAGCUCACAAGUCAGAAUAGGCUUGUAGCUUGUAGUUACAGCUUAACUAACUGGCAGGAAAAGAACUAUAGUUUAAGAACACAGUUGGCAACAGGCACAUGUCUGCCCUCAGAAAAGUAAACUUUCCUGCCACAAUCUCCUGAUCUGUUUGGAUAAUGAUAAAAAAAAUACUGGGCAAACCCCAAGAGUUCUGUGACUGCUUGGCCAGAGUAUAAAUAUUUCAGGCUUUAUGGAGUGCUUGUGUGGCUUAAAUGUUGCAGCAAGACUGUCUCAGUUAUUUUUAGGUUGGGGGAGCAGGAAGAGUGCUUGUUUCCUGUCUUCCCCUCCCCCAGGAACUUGGGGUACCUUAGAUGAGAAGAAAAGUAACAACCCCUGAGCUGGUUUAUCAGUUCGAGUUGAACAAUGUCCGUACGUUUCCUGACCCCGUUUGUGGAAGGGGGAGAACAGCCCCAGCAGUUACAUUGCAGCACUUUGACAAUAUUAUUCCUUUUGAAACAACACAAAGGCACCGAGCCUCUCAACCGAAACAAGCUGCAUCUUACUUGAUAAUUGGGUAUGAAUAGUGCCCAAAACAUGGCUACUAAAGCUUGUAACUAGAAUUAGUCUCCAGCAACUCCGGUUGCUGUUAUGGGAACUUUGAUGCUUACACAGCCAUGACUAACAUGAGAAAUCAGUGAAACUGAAUAUUCCAGUGCCUCUUAGUCAUUAAAACAUUGAUACAUUUAGGUAACAACCGUUAAUGUCUUCACAUCAGCUGCUUCUUCUUCUCUUGUACAUAGCUGCAAAUUACUCAUAAUUGUACAUAUUGAUGCAUAUCCAUGCUAUAAAACAAAGGAAUAUGAUAACUUGGUAACAACACCUGUCUAGUUUGAGCUAUACCAACCUUCUUCACUUGGCAGUUCAGGGUUUUUUGUCACCUUAAUCCAUAAAGGCAUAAAGAAAUUCAUAGUAGUGCCUUCAAUUUUCUCCUAAGAGGCAGAGGCAAAAAAUGCAUAUGGUCCUGGUUACUGGUACUGUAAAAAUUGUGUAAGACAACACAAUUAUUUAUUUUCUUGUUGCAUGAGUAUUGGCAGCAGUACACAGGUGUUAACUUUGGGAGGAAAAGUGUCUGGGGCUAUUGUGUGUAUCUCAUUGUGUUUGUAAUUGAUGUGCACAUACCCUUAGUAAAAAUAAUCACUCUUCCUGACAAAAAUCAGUCUGCAGCACUCCCCCUAGAAGUAUGAAGCUUCUUGGCACCGGGAAGCAUGUGCAGAACAGGCCUAGAAUCACUCAGGCAAGAAGCAGUUAAAUCCUAGCUUUGGCAUGCAGAAGUGUCCCCAUGUGUGGAGACAGGAUAGAAAGAGCAGGCUUGUCCUAACAUGCUCCUCCAGCAGCUACACAGAAAUGUCACUACUAUGUAGAACUGUGCUUUUUCUCCAGUCUUCUGCAUAUUUUCCACUUAGUGAUGGUGGUCAUACUCUCUUUAGGGAUAUUGGUUUGCAGUCUGGUCUGGGGUUUUGUUUCGUUUAAAGUCAAGAUUUUAGAAAACUGAACAGAUCUUGCUUACUGUGAUUCAUCCUGCUGAAGCAAAAAUUUUGUGCUGGUAUUAACUGCCAUGGAAAACCAGCUAUAUCUGAGAGGAUACCAACUGAGAAAACAAUUUUCAAAAUCUUGAACUCUGGAAAAAAAAUGAGUGUCUGCUUACAGAAAGACUUACAACCUCUUGCAUCACUGCUUAGGCACAGGCAGUCAAACCUUAAUUCCCUCAUGUCUGAAUCAUGCUCAUUCAGUUAAAAAGACAUAGCAGUGUUGUCACUUGACUAGUGAGAAAGUUAAGCAAUUCUAUUUGGCCUCAAAUAUAUUUACUUGCAGAUGAAAAUCAAGUUUUUUGCUGUUAGUUAAACUUUUUCAUCAGUAGUUCUAUGGACUUCUGCAGUUUGCACUGCAGCUCCAUCCAGGGGGUUCUCAUUUUCUCACAGUUAUGCAAUAAACUAAACUGUGUGAACACUGAGCUAGUUGAAUAUUGAUAGGUGUACCCUUAUCAAAUGAUAAAAAGGAGGCCUUGUUAUGAAGCACUAUAUAAACAUAAGCUGAAGGUGGUGAGUCACGUGAAGGACAGGGGCUUAAAUCAACAUGCUUUCCCUUCAGACCACAGAGUCUGCAAACUGCAGACUAGUCCUUUCUGGGUAUGGAAAGGUCCAAACACAAGCAGGGCACUUCCUGUUGUUCUUGAUAGUUGUAGAUGGUAGAAUUGGGGCUUCAAGGGGAAUCAUGCUCCAGUUCUGGGUUUUACGCUUCAGAAUAAAGUCUUUUACUGCUUAUUUGGGAACUCACCAAAAAACUUGUCUGAGUUAUGAACCUUUCAUGGGAAAAGGGUAUAUCCGUGUGGUAGGUGGGGGGUUUUGAUGGGUGUGGUUUAAGAAGCUUGUGUUUCACAAUGAGCCUUUCACAAUUCCUGAUGCUGGUCUGAUUAUACAUACCUUAGACAUGUGAAACAGAUGUCAUUUAGCCAUGUAUAAUGUAGCCUGUUCACACAUCCCUUGCAGGCUGAGAAUAACAUUAGCUAAAUUUAGAAAACUUGGGUAAAUUCUUCAUAUAAUGCACACCCUGGACUGCUCUGAGCUGUGUAUGACCGUGUAUUACUGGUAAUUACUUAUAAUUACACCAACAUCUGAGUAGAAAGGAAGAAGAAACCACUUCAUUAAAGCAUUUUGUUGUUGUUUAAAGAUCAAAAUAACAGGAUGUAAGUAGUAGAUUGAUAUAUGUAUAGAUCGAUAUAUAUACAUACACACACAUAUUAAGGCUAAAGGGAGUGCAUUAAGAUGAAAUUAGGGACUUCCAGGUAUGAAGGCAGCACUGAAAGCUAAAGAAAGGGGAAGGAGGAGUUGUUGAGGUAAGAGGAUAUGAAGCAAAAAGUGUGGUGAGCUAAUCCAGGAAUAAGAGAAGGGCCUGUAGGGAAGGGAGCCAUCUUUAGCAACAGCAAAAGAACAGGAAGCCUUACGUGAGAACCUGCUGAAACUUAAUGUCUGUUAGGUAAUGACACCUGUCAUCAAGGAGUCAGUGGAGAAGUCUGCUGGAUCUGGAAUCAUGGGAUGGACAGAAAGUACUGAGACAGCUGGUGGAGCUGUUAACUUGGCCCUUGGGGUGGAGGAGUCAUGGGGGUGUUUAUGCUGGUUGGAAGAAAGAAUAUAACUAGUUGGGUAGUAACCCAGCUCAGUAAAAAGUGAUUAGUGGUAGGGCCACAUCGAUCAAGAUGACUGAAAGAGUUCAAUUCAAUGUUGAAACACUGCCAGCUUUGUAAUGUGCCCAAACUAGGAAUUGGUGUGGGGGGGCCCAUUGUGGGGGUGCUCUUCACCAGUCCUAAGGGUUAUUGUUCUGACACCACAGCGUAGUGCUCCAUGGCUUCAGCUGUUGAUCAUUUAUUGGGAGUAUGCUGUGAACAAGGGAGUGAUCUGUUUGACAAGGAGAUCACUUUUUCCUACCCUUGAAUAUAAUUUUUGAAUUGGGGCUCAGAGUGGAUCUAAGAUUAGUCAAUAUAGAGGCAGAGAUCUGUAUGGUGUGAAACAGAGUCCCUCCAGGCCCAUACUGCUGCAGAAACACCUCUUCCUCCUUUUUUUUCACUACUCUUUAAAAGCAUGUAAGUGGAUUUUCCAAAGCACAUCAUGCAAUUAGAAACUCUUGGUUUGAGGACUUUUGUCACAUAGGAAGUCUAAGGCAGAGACAGGGCAAAGUCUUGUUAAAGGAAUUAAAUAUUACCAUGAGAUGCUCUUAGCUGUAGUCUCAGUUUGUCACAGUUUAACAAAACUAUUCCUGCAAGAAAUGAAGCAGGGAUCUUUUACUGAUAACAUGACAAGAAAUAAAUUAGGCAACAGUAUGCAGCAUGUUAAUUAUAAGCUUUAUAAAACAAGGGAAUCCAGGCAGGCUAUUCUGGCAUUUCUUAACUUUCUCCUGCUUGAUUUCAUGGUGUUACAAAACAUAAAGAUGAGUAGAACUGGAUUUUCUACAAGUGUGUGUGUUCUGAGCACUUUUCACUUUCAUUUCAUGGAUUAAAAUAAUGCAAUAAAAACAGUGAGCUUAAUGACAGAGCAAGUCCUGCUUUCAUAGGACUGCUUUUUCUGCCACCCCCCUUGCCUUACCAUGGUAACUUCAGUACCUCAUGAGUUACUAAUAAUGCUGGCAGAGACCAAUGUUUACAACUCAAGUCUGUUUUUUGGAUACAGGCUUCAGUCCUCUAGCAAAUUAAAGCCAGAUGGGAACGACAGGGAGCAGAAUGGAAUUUAAUUCUGUUAUGUGGCUUGUGAUGUUAACAAAACUCUUUGGUAAUUUUCAUUGUUAUUUUGCCUAGAAAAUGGCUUGUACCUUCCUUCUGUGCAGUCACUGUAACGUGCAGUCUUCUUACAGCAGUUCACCCCAGCACACUGGAAGCCUUCGCUGAGAUAUGUUGCUUUACUUCCACUGCAGUGACAGACAAUGGUAUAAUCAUAUUACGUUUUUGUGGAGUGGUUUGGGUUUUUUUCUAAGUGAAAGGAUCAAAACUGGUUAAUCCAGACAGAAAAGCUUUUCCUCUGUUCUUGCACAGCUGGUGGAGGUGAAGCGCAGUUGUUUUGCAACAUUUAACAAGUCUUUCUCUCUUUUCCCUUAAACUACCCUAGGUGAAAGUACAGUAAAGGAAUACUCCUUGAAAUCUGAGGAGGGAGGCAGGCUCAGUCACCCAAAACUUCAGCGGUUCCAGGAUCUGUAUUGCAGACAGGAUAAGGAUUUUUUUCAGUGCAGUUAAUGCUGGGCUUUUUACACUGGUUUCUCAGAGGAAAAGACUCAACAUGUUGAAUCACAGAGACGUUGCUUCCUGCUGGCGUUUGGGAUUUCCUUGCAUGGCUGCAGGAGCUGUUUUUGCAUAGUGCAUCCUCUCAGGGAGGAACUUGCUGAAGAUGAAGACAAACAGUUCUGUGCAGAAUGUAAUAGUUUCUGACUCAAAUUGUCAAAAUAUCAUAGGGUGUGGUAGGAACUGCUGUGUCUAACAUUACUGAGGAUUUAUUCCUUCAUAAUUUGCCUACAUGAAUAUAAUAUGCUAAUGUCAAUUAAAAUAUAGAAGUGGAGGAGAGAUUUCUUGAUGUUUUCUAGCCACUUGAAACCUGAUAGUGUACAAAAAUAAAUUUCAGUGUGCUGGAGUAUUCAUGUUGUUUUUUUCCCCAGUUGCUCAGUCUUAAUUCCCAUUCUUUCUGAUUUCCUACAGAAAGAAAGAAAAGCUACUUGCUGUAGCUUCAAAAAUAUGAACUCAUUAAACUGUGAGCAUUGGAAAUAUGAUAGAUCUUCUAAUUACUGUUUAGUUUCACUAGGAAUUAAAAAUAUGUAAUCCUAGAAGUUACUGUAGUAAAUUGAUACAGAGUAUUUUGACAUACCUAUCUGCUUCAUACAGCUGUUUUCUUCCUAGAAGGAAAGUAUUCCUAACAGUUUGUUGCAGUACUGAGUUUUACUGUUGAAUAUAAGAUAGGCACAAUUUACUAUGAAGACAAACUUCAAGAGAAUUCAUAUGGACUCUAGUUCUUCAGUAGUUGUUCUUGAUAAACCAGGUCUUGCAGCUUCAAGAGGCAAACAGGAAAGGCAUUGGGGGGAAGGGGUGGUAGUCAAAUUUUCAGGAAGGUCAACUCCAAUUGACAGUUAAGCUUUCUAAAUGUGGAAUAGUGUGAAUCAGUGCAUUACUCCUGUAUGCUCUUUUUUCACUUUAUUUCAGAUUUGCUGUCUUUUUACCCUGCAGUGCUAAAGGAGAGCUCUGGAGGAUGGCAUUUCUCUCUCAGGUUUUAACCUCUGCUGUUCUUGGUCCAGGCCUUGUGCAGCAAACAGUUUCUUUUAGUGGACCUUCCUCUGGUGGUGUUUGGAGGAAAGGGACAGAGUUGAUCUUAGCAGAGUGUCUGAAAUAAGGGACUUCAAAGGGCUGCCUGAAGUUGUUAAACCUAAUGUCUUAGAGUAUCUAGAAAAGCCACUUCUUAGGAUAAUCCCUCCCAGCACAUUCAAUUAAAAUGUUUCCAGUGCCUUUGCAUUUUCUUCUCUGGGCUCUAGUGAUCCUAGGACAUGAACUGGCACCUAAAGCAUUAUCAGAGGUGCAAAUUCUCACUUCAUUUUAAAUGAGUGAAUCUUCCAUCCCUAAAUAUGGUUCUUGCUGGGUUAAAAAAGGAUAUAUUUUUUAGUUAGAUAGAGUCUGUGUAUGUAAUUUGGCAUAAUAAGAUUUUUUUCAACCAUUUUUUUAAUGAAAAUUUUACUUAAUGGUGAAUGACAGAUGUGUAAACUAGUGUUAGACUCUCUGUGUGUGUGACUGUUUGUUAAAGGAAAAGCAUGUUUUUGUAGUGUGGUUUUUGGACUUCCAGACAGAUUACACAAGCUCAAGAAGGCCCACCCCACAUCCUGUGUAGAAAACUAGCUCACAGAAAUGCCCAUUGUUCUUCAGGAUUAUAAGUCACUGUAUUUUCUGCAUGCUUUCUGUUUCAAAGUACUGUAUGGAAAAUACUAAUGCAAAGGAACCACAGCAGCUUAACAAGUGCUUGGUCCUGCCAGGUACUGAGCACUGGGCUCUUACCGAAAAGCUGGGGGGCUGGGAUUAAAACAUUAGGCUCCCUGGAUAGAGAACAAAGGUUUUGUGUUGGUAAAAGUAGCUUUUAUUAGCUAUGUGAAUCAAUUGAUAAUUGACAUACUUUCAGCCUGAAAGUUGUUUGUAUUUACUGUCUUGGGGGAGGAGUCACAGAGUAAGGAUUUUGCUUCAGGCAUGGUGAAUUCUUCUUGACAUUGCUUCACCACUACUCAGUCAUGAACUGCAAAGGAGAGAGUGUGGGGUAUCUAGAUCUAAUACCCCUCCAAAGAGAUAGUGAUUAGUGUUUCUGAAUCUCUACCAUGUUUAUUGCUCAGUUAUGUGUCCAUUUGCAAGUUAAUGGAUGUAUCCAUAAAGAAAGGAGUUAUCAAGCCAAAAAUGGUGAAAUCUCUUCACUCUUCCCUUUUUUUUUGUUUGUGUUUACCCUCCAUUGCCAUCUUGGAGCUUAUUUUUUAAAAAGAUGAUGUGCUAUAUUUAAUUUUUAGUUUUCAAACAGGAGAAGUGUUUCAAUGUGAAUUUUAAAAUCCUCAUAUUACGGUUUUCUUACUUUAAAAAAAGCAACAAUGUGUAUUUCUUGCUAGAGUUCAGUACCUAUUUAAGACCAGAACAUUUGUUAUGAUAAUACAGAUGUAGCAGAAGGGUGCCAUGAGCAUGUUUGAGGCUGUGUCCUGCUUUUCUGCAGUCCUCUGAAAGGAAUCACCUCCCUUUAGUCUCUGCCAGUCUCCUGACUGUGCAGCAUUCCCAAAACAUGUGGCCCAUAAAAUGGGAUUAUAGGGAAGGCAUUCAAGUAAACAGAAAUUCCCUCUGGACGAGAUUUGCUUUUCCAUGCAGAGCUCCUGUGUGCUGUAGCCUGGCACUGCAGCCUCAUUCCCUCACCAGGAACAAAUUCUCCUCUUGGUGACCCCAAGAGUGAGAGACCAUUUUAGGGCACCUCUAUAUUUUGGAGAUAGUCUCCUCUUGGCUGGCACAAUGAAGCUCCCCUUUGCAGUGUUUUCAGAAGGGACACACCCACUUACAAGUUAAGGGAAAAUAAUAAUCCUUUCUGUGUCUCUUCAGUGUCUGUAUGUAACAAUAAAUGACCAGUCUCAUGAUGUGGCUGUAGCUGCCAAAAAUCUGCAGUGAAUGUACAACUGUAUCAGUCAUUAAUUGUACAGUAUUGCUAAAGUGGCCCAGUGCUUUUGUGAAUUGUGUUCAAGGGUAAGUAGCUGCUUGAAGGUAAAAAGCUGUGUGCUUCUGUGAGCACACAGGUAUACUGGUGGAUAAUAGUGUAUUUCUGUGAUUUCAUGGUCCUGUUCAGCCUGUUCUGUUGAAAGCACACAACCUGGGAUAGGUUCAGUCUGCAUUUUGAGUACUUUCAAGUUCUUUGUUGAGGCUAAUUGUAUUGGUCUCAGCAGGGAACAUUUCCAGACCUGCUCCCUGCAUCCAGUCCUGGCCUCAAUAACUCAAACUGUCAUUGCUACUCCACAGGAUUAUGCUGUGUGGGAUAUCAGAGCACAAAGCCUUCUGACUUGGGUUCCUUUCACUGUAGCUCUUUGUCGUAGUUUUAAAAAACUUGUCUCAAAUGGAUGUUGUCCUUCUACCUUUCCAGUGGAUGCUAGUCACCAGGGGAAUGUAGUGUUCCCCUUAUCAUAGAACGGUUUGGGUUGGAAGGGACCUUAAAGACCAUCUAGUUCCAUGGGCAGGGGCACCUUUCACUAGACCAGGUUGCUCAGGGCCUCAUCUAACCUGGGCUUGAACACUUCCCAGGGUGGAAUAUCCAGGAGGGGAUAUCUGCAGCGUCCCUGGGUAACCUGUUCCAGUGUCUCACCACCCUCACAGUAAAAAAUUUCUUUCUAAUAGGUAAUUGAAACCUGCCCUCUUUCAGUUUAAAACCAUUCCCCCUUGUCCUGUCACUACAUGCCCUUGUAGCAAGUCCUUCUCCAGUUUUCCUGUAGGCCUCCUUUACAUACUGGAGGGCUCCUUUCACCUGAGGCAUCAGGUGCCAAUGGCCUUGUCUUGGCUUCGUGGAGGUGCUGCUGUGUAACCACAGUAUGGAGGCUUUCAUUCCAGGGCAAAAGCAGCAAUUGUGAAUAUUGUCCUUAAAAUAACAAGAAUUCAUAAAUUCACUUGGGUGACUGUUCCAGACAUGCCCUGUGUUUGAUCACAUUGUUGAUGUGCUACUGAGUAUUGGUGAGGAAUGUGAUAAGAGAUCCCUACAGAAUGGAAGACUGCCCUCUGCCUUUGGACAGCACAGCCUUAUACUGACUGACUUUACCUGUUUUAGGGGUGACUCUGAAUAGAAAUGGUUAAAUUUCUUGUAAUUGUGGAGCUCUGACCCAAUAGCAGCACUGAGAAUUUUCAGUUAUCUGAAGAAAUGUACAUCAGAAAUUCUCGUUUUUUGUUUCUGCACCUGCUGCAAAGAAGUAGAACAGCCCUGGGAACAGGCAAGACAACCCAGUUCCUGCCACUGUCAAAACCAGCAAAUUCAUUCAUUUGUAUACCCCCCAUUGUAACCAAAGCAAAGAAUUAUUUCCUAUGGGUUCUAAAUCAGGAGUUGCUGUUCUUUCUCUUGUUGUUUGUUUCUUUUGAAAGCCUUUACAAUGGGGAGCACACUUAAAGAAUUAAGGAAGGUAGAUUUGGGGCCUGUAGCUCACACCACAGGUGACUGCACUCAGUAAUGUCAUUGUCACAGCUGUACACAGCUUUUGUUUCUAGAGGGUCAGAUUCUCUGCUCUUAUCUAUAGGAGGGUAUAAAUGAGAGAAAGCAGGCUGACUUAAUUUGAUGGCAGACUGCUGAUAGGACUGGUGGUUAUUUGAAGGCUGCUUAAUCCUGUUUAAGGUUGGUAUUUUUUUUGGAAGGUCUCUGAUUUCUGGGUGUAUUUUGUACAGAAGCCAUGUAAAAGCUGGGGCUGAAUUAAUCUGUCAAUUGCUACAUAUCCAUUGAUAUUUUCAUCGUAUUCCAGCUGUAUGAUAGUUAAACAGGAUCGUUAAAUAAAAUUUUCAGAAGGUUAAGGAAUUAAUUAUAUUUUUCAUACCUGCUGGUUUGUAAGAUCUGAUGCUGAAUUAUGAGAAGUAACAACAUAUUUACUGUAUUUUCCAAAUGUUAGGUAGAUGUUACAGAUACAACAGCAGAGAACUGAAAAUGUCAUGUGAGUAACAGUAUUUCAUUUAGUAAUUUCUGCGUGGGAUGGUUUAUGUUUGUACAAACUGGCAGUUUAUGAACAAGCUUUUGAGGGGAAUGAUACAUUGCUAAGGCUGCAAUACUUUGUAUUAUGCUGUACAGAUUCGGUAUCAUAAUUUAAAGGAUUUGUGAGCUUCCUUCUCUCUCCAGUCAGUCCACCUGCAUACCAGCACUGUCAGGCAGGUGAACUUUCAGUGAACUGGGUCAGCAGAAGAAACCUCACUUUUCUUGCAGUGGGCAAUUGAUAUGAGUGUAGCUCUGUGGAUGGCUGCUUACAGAGUCAAAUAAGUGCCAAUGCAAGGGAAGCAGGAGGAGAAACCUCCUGUUUUGGCAGCAGUCAGCAAUUAGAUUGGCUUUGUGGUUUCAUGAAGUCCUAUCUGUAAGUUAUGUGCACAUUUGUAACGGUGGAAAACUGUGGUUGUUGAUGGUUUUGCUUCCCCUCUGCCAAGUGCCAACCCUGUCCUGGGUGCUGCCACUCUGUCAGCAGGCAGGUAGGGGACACAAACUCGGCUGGCUGUGAGCUUCUAGGAUCUGUUUGGAAAACUUUAGGACUAAUUGAAAGAAGUCUUACAGAUCAAGUGCGGCUCAGGUGACCCUGUAUGUUUACAUUAAUGCAAGAUGAAAUAUGUGACUCUUGGGUGACAACAAAGAAGCCUUGGCUCAGGCUUGAGCAGCUGCAAUUAGGCAAGUGAGCCAUUCUGAAGGAGACUGUAGACCUCAAUGCAAUUUUCUGGAAAACAAAGGAAUCUACAUAGUAAGAAGACAAAUGCAAGAAUGGCUUACCAAGAUCAUUGGUAAUGCACUAGUAUAAUUUAAAAAAAAAAAGGAGAGGGAGGUUUAAAAAUCCCAGCCAGUUCAUGUGGUUCGUUAGGCUGGUGUCAAAGUACUGAAUUUAAUUUGAGGACUUGGGAUAAGACAACAGAGAGUCACUAUCACCUGGAGAAAAAAAAAUGGCCCUUAUCAGUGUCUUUCCAAGGACCUAUUUUUUUACUAUCUACUGUUACUGUUACAAGUGACACUAGAGAUGACUAAAGCUGGAAGAAGUUAGAUGAACCAAACCUCUUUUCUCGUUUUCUGUUUAGUGCCAUCGUUAGCAUUCUUGGCAGCACUUCACAGAUACUUUCAGUGGUUUUUCUGCUUGGUUGCACUUCCUGUCUCAUGUAUUGGUGUAAUGAUGUCAUUCUUGCACACUGCUGCAGGGGAGUGCGUGGCCGCGUGGUCUGCCCAAUCCCCCCUGCAAGAAGGGCUUUCUCGUGCCCUUCAAGAAGACUUUGCUUCUGCUCUGAUGGCUGAAAUCCAAAUGGAAAGUCCCUUUUUUGAGCCUCCUCUGUAUGGAGUGGGAAGCAGAGCAGGAGGAAGAGGCAACCUUCCUCAUUCCAUUUUUGGUAGGAAGCUACUUACAGGAUUGUCUGUCUUGACCUGAUGUGGGUGAACCCCCGGAGCCAGCAUAACUCUGUGUGCCUCCAUAGCCCUGUCUGGAGCUGUAGAGAAAGCAAGGGUAGGGAAGAUGCAGUGGAAAACAGGAAUGGGAGCUUCAAACAUAUCCUUGCUCCUUUGGCCAGGCGGUGCUGGUCAUGGGAGGAGGGCACUGAGAAAGUCUUAUCUGCCCAGUGUUCCUUUCACAGACCAGGAGAGCAGCAGGGUUUGUUUCUCUGUUUCUGCCUUUCCCCAGAAGGCAGCAUGGAUGGAGCAGUUCCUCCUUGGGGAUGUUACUGCAGGAGAAGGAGGAGUGUGGCUGCCAGGAGGGAGCAGGCGGCCCCUCACCCCUGGGGAGCAGCCUCGGCCUCCUGCUUCCUGAGGUCUGUCCCUGUGCACCAGGCCAGGCUCUGCUGUGCAAGCAACAGUUAUGUGGGGAGCUUUAAAGUGAUAGAACUCAGUGUGUUGAAACGAACUUGGGAAAACUUCUGAAAUCUGGCUCAAAGGGGCUCUUCCAGCAUGAGUCAUCUGCAGCUGUAGAGGAGCCAUGGGCAGAGCCUUCCUCCCCUCUACUCAAUGGAGCUGUCAGAGUGCCCGGAGCCAGGGCAGGGAGAAAAAUACCCUGAUUCAGUCCCUAACGAGAUAUACAUGGGAGAAUUCCCCACGGGGGCACCGGUGGGGGUUUGUGGCUUUGUGUUUUUCAAUCACUCGGCCCCACGUAAGAACAUUGCGCAGCUUGGACCUUCCACCCAGAGGACUGAAACACCCCAAGUCCAUCCCCAGGAAGCAGACAAUGGUGUUGAUAUGCCUGUUGCUGCAGAGGAAGUGGCUUCUGUUAUAACCAACAAGCAGUCUGCCAAAGUCUAUGGUUUGGGUGAUUGCCAGACUAAAUUUGACAUAAAAUUAUUUAACCUUUUUGGCUUUUAUCUUACUGUUUCUGGAUCUGUUUCUCCUGCUUCCUACCAUUUAGAGCUCACAUAUGGCAGGAUUUCCCCCCCCCCCCCAGAAACUAGUACAGACUUUUAUUUAAAAAAGGUGAAAUUGUUAACAGAGAAUCCAGUCUUUAUGUAGUAGAUUAUGAAAAUAUUCUUAAAUGCUUUCAGUAGGGUAGCAAAAGUGAUGCUAAACCAUAUGCAGCUAUGGUAUUGCUCAGGGCUUUGUCAUGUCCCCUUGCUGCAAUCAUUAGGAAAUAUAACAUACUAUUGCAGAAAAGACAGUAUGUGGAAGUCAAGACUUCAAAUGUUGGAGGCAUCAGACGCCCUCUUGUGCCGUUUCUCUGGUAGCAUCACAAGGCAAGCAGCUUCCAGGAGCAGAGGCAGAGCCGAGCUUCAGCCUCUGUUUUAGUCUGGGGGAGACUGGUGUGUGCUUGGGCACCUGCAUCGUGAUCCAGUGCAGUUCUGAUGUGUAGGAGUUUUUUGUUGAUGGGUCCACAAACUUCACUCCAGCUGUACAGUAUGACCAUUCAAAAUGAAGCUUUGAGUGGAAAAAAAUAGACAUCUUCCAAAAGACAAAAAUAAAAUCUUUAGAUUCACACAAAAGUAGCAGUGUUCACUAAAUACUAAAUUUCUCUGAUGGGCCAGAUUUUAAGUUGAAUUUCAGACUUCAAUGACUUAAUAAUAUGCAAGUUUAGAUUUUCUUUUUGUUUAGAUUAUACUGUAUGUUUAAAAUUGUUCACCUCCUUGGGCUGCAGUAAUAUCAGGAAAAUGUGCCGUGUCUCUGUGGAAGUCAACUCUGGGUCUAGUCAAAUACUUUUCUUCAGAUUGCUCACUGCAAAUGUCAGAAAAUACUCAUUUCUCCAGAUACCAGACCAUAAGCAGAAGUGCAAACUCCAGAGUAAAAGAAGUACAUCAGUUUACAAAAUUAACUAAAUAGCUAUGACACAUCUGAAUACACAAUUCUUUGAUGGCUUGUUGCCUAAAGAAAUAAAUUUCACCUUUUUUUGAUGUGUGGAACUCAGUUGUUCAAAGGACACAAAUGUUACUGUUUUCCUGGCCUGAUGCAAAGUUCUGAACUUACUGAUACCACUAAGAUGCAAACACAACUAAACAUAACAUGCCUUGGCAGCACUGUUCUGUCUUCCUGACUCUUCAAGGAUUAAAAUUGUUGCUUAUUUCAGGCUUGUUGACCCAGAGUGGUUUUAGACUGGGCUACCUGUCAUUCUGUGACAUUUCUAGCAAAAUAGCAGUUUCUAUCAAGGUACCUCUCUGCCCAAAAGGUCGUGAUGAUUACUACUACAGAGCAGUAGCUAGAGUAUAAAAGAAGAAUGGCCAUGCUGGGCCUGGCUGAUAUCGAUCCUGACUCCAGCAGACACUGUAAGUGAAUGCCUUGAUAAAAGCCUAAGAAGAAAGUAGGUAUAAAUGCUUCUUCCUUUAAUGCUGUCCAGCCUCCAACAAUUUUCACGUCCUAAGCUGAAUAUGGGGUUUGUGCAUUUAACCUUGACAGAUUUAAUUUCUAAGAUUUUUCCAGUUCUCCACUGAGCUAGUGUUAAACUUUUGCAUUCACAGCAUCCUUUUUGCACUGAUGCAUUUGGUCCAUGGUGAGCACUGACCAUCUUGUCUCCUGUCUGUUAUUUUUAACAGCUAUUUGCCCCGGAAGGACCCUUCCCUCCUGAGCAAUGGCUGUUUGGUUAUCUUUAAAGUCUUGUUGAGGAGCACAAUUGACAGCAGAGCCCUUUUGAGAAGUCUUAUAGUACUUGAUACAGAUUUCCCAUUUACCAAAAAAAAAACCAACAAACAAACCCAACAAACAUCUGGGUUCUUCCAAAGUGUAUCAUGUUGCUCUGUUUAUUAAUUCUAUUCCUUAUUAUAGUUUCUACUACUUGCUUAUCAGUGAAGCUUUAUACAGAUUUAUUACUCUGCCAGUAGUGGUAUGAAUUUGGCAAUGUGACUACAUUUUUUAGUACUUUUUUGUGUUCUCUCUAGCAGGUCACAGAAAUGCCAGUGUGAUGUGUCUGUAGAGGGCAAGUAAUGGCUGUGAAGUGUUUUCAAGCAAAAAGAGAAUGCUGUGGAAAUGCACAGAAUUAAUGUUGCUAUGUAAAUUUAAUGGGAGUUACCACCCAUCACAGUAACUGUGUGGAUACAACAAAAUGGAUCAAAUAAAGGGUUUGUAUGUAUUUUGAAGUCACUAAAUUUCAAUAUUUGCUUGUACCUAUCUGAUGGCAUACUUGAAUUUGAUCCAGUAAAGACUAGAAAUUCCUUUAGCCCACAAGGAGAAUUUUUCAGGGUCUGGGACUGAAAACACACUUGAGUAUGAGCAGUUUUGGGGGAUCAGAUUGUAAGGAUUGUUUCCAGCAGAGCAGGUCCAGUCUUAGAAGUUUUCAGUCUGCUCUGGGGGCUGUCUACCAUGAGUGGUUAACUGCUUUGUUCAGUAUGAGGGACCAUCUCAUGACCAUACCUGAUGCUGUGUGAAAAAUAGUCCAGACUGCCGUUUGGGAAUCUGCAGAGUACUGGGGGGAGGGGGAAAGGAAGAACCUUUCCUUUGCCCAGGGAAGUCUUUGUCCUUCCUUUUUCUUUUCCUGAAGAGGAUGAGGAAAGGCUCCAGGCAGAGAUAAAGAAGGAAAGUUUUCUAAGUAGUUGAGUAUUCCGCAAAGUACUGGAUGAAGCCCUUCAAAAGGCACAGGACUUCACUUGAGUGGCUUGCAUAGCUGAAAUAGCUAAUGUAAAUGAAUUCAGAGACAAAUCUCCUUAGCAAAAUCAGCCAUUCCUGAGCACAGAAUGUUGUCAUUAAUAAUUUGAGCAAAGUGUGUGGUCAUUGUUGUUCUUCUGUGAACCCUACCUACCUUAAAAUAUCAAUAAAAGGCUCCCUGUGGCUGUGCAGCUUAACCUCGGUGUUUGAAAAUCUGGCAGUGCCAUGUCUGAUGUAGCUGCUGGUGAGAGAUCAUUUGCAAUGUACUCCUAAACACAUUGUAAAAGGCUGAAUCCAAAUUGAUGCUUCACAUCCUGUUCAUCUGCUGUUUCACAGUAGGUGUGUGUGUAUACUUUUCCCUAAAAUACACAAUAGUAAGUAUGACAUAACUGAAAAGUAGCAUCUUGCAUUUACAGGAAGAAGGGAGGGGCAGGUAAGAGGGUGUAUGUAGCAGAGCUGCUGGCUUGCAGCAGUCCUUACUCAGUAUUGCAGCAGUUAAUUCCUGUCUUUUACAAAAUGAAUUGUUUAAAUUCCAUAUAAAAUGCUUUCCUAGACGUGCUAGGAGCCAACUCUGAGCUCUGACUAUUGCCACAUUCUGUCCUUGCAUGCAAGAUUAUCUUUACAGAUAAGCAUGAAUAGAGUUCAAAUGAAUCUAUCAAUAAUCAGUGGAAAGGAUGUCAUAAUGUGAAGUCUGAUACUGUAUAAAAAUAUACAAGUCCUUGAAAACAUGUGUUUGGAAAGGAACUGCUUUAUUCUUAACAUAGCUGCGGGUCUGGCAGCAACAGCUCAUGAAGAGGUGUGGGAAUUAGCUGAACAGACUCCCUGCUGGCAAGGAGGGCUGGGAGGCUGUAUACUACCAAUAGGAGACUGACUCCUCAUUUUUAAGUCCCUUUGGGUAAAGGAUGGUAAAUUAUUUUUCUUUGCUGAUGAAACACAUUGUGAGGCAAAGCCACAAUCGAGAAGAAAAAAAAUAAGUGUUUACUGGAAAUAAGAUCUGAAAUAAAUAAAGUCAAAGGAAAUAUGGUAUGUAAGAUUUCAAUUUUAGUUUGUCAUAAUCUCUUAGAUUUAUCACAAUGGGUUCAGCUAAAAGAAGAAGAUACAUGAGGAAGGUGGGGAGAGGAAGAGAUGGCUGAAGAUGAAACGCACAUUUUUAAUUACUCCAUUGCUAAUUCUCUGGUUUGGAUCUGCUUAUAAUUAAGUUAAACUAUUUUCAGUGGAAUUUUUCUUUGAAGUAUUUGCAGCAAUGCAGAGUAUGUGUGGUACUGUGCUGAGUCUAAAGAAAGGGCAAACAGAAAUACUCCCUUGUGCUGUGAAUGGCACAGUCUCUAUAAGGACUCCCAUGACUAUUAGCAGGCACUUUUUCCAAAAUCUACUUUUUUACAGCAUCAGUUAUGUGAAACUUAUAAAGCUCUCUGUAAUGAUGCCCUCUGGUGACUCUGAGAAUUUUUGCACUAGAAUGAAAUAAAAAGCAAGAUGGAAUUUGGCCUGCUACUAUGAAAGUACUCUGGCAACUUGGACUAUUCGUUAAAGAUUAAUGAGCAAAUUAGAGCUCUUCAAGUUCAACCAGGCAAUAUACACGAGCCAUACACAUACAGAAGUCCAGGACACACUCCAAGUAUUGUAGGAGCAGAGCUGAAAUGUGUAAGGUAGUCUCUCCCUCUGCCAUGCAAGUAAUCUCUUGUACAUUCAUGAUAAAAAGAAACCUGCCUUUUGGCACUGCACACUGAUAAUUUAUUUUCUAGUGCUUAGAGAAAAGAAAAUUAAAAGAUUAAAAAAAAUUCUCAAGCUUUUCUUGAUGCAGAGAAUGUGGAGGAUGUUAAUUAAUUAUAUGAAAUCUUAGAAAUAAACCAGCUGUGCAAAAGAAUGCCUUUUGUGUAUUUUACACUUAAUGUGGCUGCUGCACAGUCUCUGGAAAGCUGAUUUCUACCAUGCACUCUUUCCUCUCCUGGAUAUUUUUUUUUAUACACACAAUCUGUACCUCUAAUGUUUCUACGUUUACUGCCCAUCAUUUCCCAUCAUACGGACAUACGUGACUAGUAUUGCACUGACUCUGGAGCCCAUGUGGUCCUUAUUCUGCUCUGGUUGAAAAGGAUUCUUUAUUUGCAGUGUUGUGUUAUUUUACAGCCAGAUCCAUGAUCAUGUAGUGUCUGCAAGGAAACAAGUAUGUGUGGCUGGGCAUGGGUGGAGUAGGUGUGGGCACCCCCUCUUCAGUAUCACUUCUGUUUUAAAUCAUGGCUAGGAAGUUAUGUCCUAAGAAAUAUGGAUGCAGCACUGGCAAGGCGAGUAACGCAACAGAAAGCCAUCCACAAGCAGAUACAAGCAAGGUAAUUAAUAGGGGAUAAAGAGAAAAAACCCCAAAACAAUCCCUCCUCCCCCCCCCAAACCUGUUGUAAUAAAUUUUUACGAGGUGUGAACUAUUAUCUUUCAUCUUUAUUAACUGAAUUCCCAAAUUAGGCACAUACUUCUGAUAACCGUAUAAAGCUAAGUAACUCCUCUGCUUUUAAGCAGUGUUCCCCCAUGCCAUGCUUGGAAGAGGAUGCAUCUCCUCCCAUUCAUGUCCUUUGCCAAACAGCCUCUUAGGCACAGUGUAGAUCAACUGGCUUUGAUGGAUAUUUUCUCUAAGAAAAACUAAAGGAGUAAACAAAAUAUUUGUUUUGACAAGAUGUCUACUUUGAUCAAAAUGUUAAGAUCAGGAGGUGCAAGUAUGAUUUUAUCCUCGCUUCCCAAAUAAUCUGUAGAAUCUUCACUAACUUCUUCAUUAAGUCAGUUAUUUACCUUUCAACUGCAGUCUGUAUUUUAGGAAAAUAACUUGUGUUGAUUUUACAGGCCGUUUAGUAUCUGUAGAGGAGUUCAUGCUAUUGUUUUGAGGCCUGAUAAUACGUCGGGAAAGGAUUGUUUUUCUCUACUAACAUUUGCAGUGUUUCACUAUAUGUGUCUUGCAGUCACACAGUGCUUCCUCCUGGCCCAGUCUGUUACCCAGGUUCUUCUAGGAGAAUAAACCCAUUGAUAAAUCCAUACAUCUUUGGUGCAGUAUCUCUGAAUGUAGCAGGAACACACAAAAAUUAGUACUUUUCCUAGUGACCAUGCCCAACUUUCCAUUUUUAGCUAAACUGAUGUUUCAAAGAGCCUCUGCUUCCUUCCUGAUCAAGACUGGAGCUGCUUACUCUGUCUGCUGGCCUGCUGAUACUUUCACAAAGGCUCCUGUAGCUCAACCAGUUGUCUCUGAGCACCUGCAUCCAUGGCAAAUUCAUGUCCCACCUGGUGUACUUGGGCAGUGAUUCCUGCUCUGUCCAACCAUCUUCCUCUGUAAAGGAACUUAAUCGCUGUUACAUUUAGCCUGAGUGAAGGGUAGCUGUCAGGCCCACUGCCCUGUCUUCAUCAGCCUGGCAUUGAUCAGAGACCUGUGUGAUGUCUUGAGCUUCCCACAGUCUGAAAGCCUUUGGGAUUAUAAAAAUGGCAGUGGAAGGAGGUGUGGGUUUUGUUAUGGUUGCAUAACUGAUUGUAGAAUAUUGUUAUGGUAGGUAUAGGAAUUUUGAACAGAAAGAUAUUGGCUACAAGAGAGGGGUUUUAUAUAUACAGAGAGCCAUGCAGAACUACAGAGAAAUUUCACUUCCGAGGUAGGUGGAGUAUUAUCCUUAGAUCUCAUCAAGGAGUGGGAGUUUCCAGUCAGACGGCUCCUCCACUGACAUGUUGGGGCAAGUGACUCAGCUCUGCAGUAGAGAAGAAUGUCCCCAGUGCUGCUUUCCUGGAAGCACCUUCACCUGGAGAUUUCUUGCUCAGGAAUUAAUUUGCUUAUGAAAACUCAUCAGUUCAUGGCCUGGGGUGGCAGAGCUGUGGGCAGAUGGCUGUCGCAGGGAUGAGGAUGCACAGCUGUAAGAAGCCUAAUUAAGACCUCUGACGAACUUUCCAGUGUAACUGCACCAGUAAUUGUCAGGAUCUAUGAAGUAAAUAAAGGUUAGUUGUUCUCUCAGCCGUGAGAGUAGCAGAACUUUGUAAUCAUCCUAUCUUAUCAGGGAUGAAAUAUGUGAAGCCUAUUCAAGGAGGCAGUGGUUGCUCUUCACUGGUGAUUUGUUACAAAGAAAAGCUUUCAGAAAUAACGCAAGGUGAGUCUGGCAGCAGUCAACUGACCUGUAAUUUCAAGAUUGCAAAAAUGAUUAGAAAAAAAGAAGCGGAGUGUUGCAGAACUCACAGCCUGGUAAUUUUCAUGAGCUUAUCUGGAGCUUGAGGUGCUAUCAUGAAUGAGACCCAGAGUGUCCAAAUCUCCUGAACUGUACAGGUUUGUACUGAAACUUACCCUUCUGGGAGAAAAAAAGAUAUGCAUGUUUCUGACAGAAUAGUUUUGUGAGCUGCUUUUUUCCUUCCAAGAUAAGCCUUAUAAAUAGCACUGAUACCUCGGUCUACUUACUCUCUGUAGACCUUAUAUCCUAGCUUUUUAUUUUGUGUAAGAGUAAUUUGGUUGGAGAAAUUGAUCAUUGCAGGGAGUGGCUCGGUUAUGAAGAUACUGGAGCCAAAUCCUUAACUCCUGUAAGUUUUGCCCGAUUCUGACCACACAAGCUAUUUUUAAGCCUGGUUUGAAAAGGCUGGUGCUCCUACAAGUCCUCUGCAUGUGGCAAUGGCCAAAAAAAAAAAGUUGCCAUCCCAACAGGUACCUGCUAGCAGGAGCCCAGUUGGCAAGUGCUAUGUAGGAAAAGCAGUCUGGAGUCAACACCUGGAAGCUGACUUUUCAUGUGGAACAGGAAAUUGUUGAAUGUCUGGAGUAUCUGCUUUAUCUGCUGUCAGCUUUUCAAUCUCCUAAACAAGAUAGAUACAGUGACACAUGGAGUUUGUGGGUCCCUGGGCUGGCCUUGUGCACACUCUUCUGCAUAGGAGAGGGUGGAGAAGCAGAGUAAUUAAGGGCAUCCCACUCUGUAGCCAGAUAUGUGAGUAUAUGUCUUCAUGUGUUAGCCCCUCACCAAACAAGGUGAAAGAGGUCUUCUGGGAUUAAAGUGCAAGGAAGCCAGGUGGUAUGUUAAUCUCUUUCCUCCAGGAUGGGGUUAACUGCAUAAAUGGAAAUGCCUUGGCCUUGUUCACCUGAUAGAUUACUCCGAUCUAGCAAACCUCUGAACACUUCAGCCUGGAUUCGUUCAAACUCUUGUGUUGAUAUAAAAUGAGUCUGUUGCCAUGUACCCUUAGGAUGCAACUUUACUUCCCAGGAUUGUCUGUCUUACGGUAAUACUUUCAACAUGUGCUUCAGAGUGAGACACAAACCCAAAGUGAUUUGCUGGUUGUGUGACUUUACUCUUUCGUGUUCCUGACAUAUAUACCUUGGAGAGUAUCUGGUUGAUGCGUAUGGUAAGAUAGCAGCAUGCCUUGAUCAAGUAUAUUCAAAAAAGGGAGUUCAGUUUCUAUUGCAUAAGGAAAAAAUUCAGCUUGUCCUUUUGAAAUACCCUGGCACUGUGUGGAUGCAAGAAUUAUUUAUUAGGGAGACUUUAAAGUAGGAUGAAAGUAAGAAAUCCUAUGAGAAAAAUCUCUGUUUGUUUCUUACAUUUUCUCCACCCUUCCCUUACCCUAGACUGUUCAAUAUGGUUAGAAGGAAAAUCUUUUCCAAAUCCUUUCAAUCUAAAAUACCAUCAGAUGGAGCAAAAGGAAAGCUGAACUUGCCCCACAAAUAUUCCUACACUGAAUUGUUAGAUGCUCCAACCCCAGAGCUUUGGGUACAGGGAAAAUACGAGCAAGAUGUCCAUGCUGUUUGUGGAGGGGUGGAUCACAGAGUGUCUCUUGCCUUGGGUGCUUCAGGGAACUAUCUGGCAGAGCUGAAAUCAUCCUGCAAUGUGAUGAUGUGGCAAUUUUGGUGGCAAUACCAGCCUACACACUUCUGUCUUGUUCUCUGUUCCUCCUUUCUGAUUUCCAUGCCAUGGGGCACCAUACUUGUGGCUGGAUUAAAGCAUCUUUCUAUAAACAGCACUGAAGACCAGAACACUUGUGGGGCAGGGUGGUGAUGUUCUGUAAAGCCAGAGAAGCCCAACACUGAUCUGAUUUACAGCAUGAAUCCACAAGGGGUUGCAUGCAGGUGAUGUCCUCACUCAUCCAUGGCAUGGUAAGUGGUGCUUUUGCCCACUGUGUUGAAAAAGGUCCUCACUCUAAGCCUGUAGGUUUGCUCUAGAAGGCUCUGCUCCAACUUCGUCAAAUCACGAACCAUGAGACUGAAUGAAGAUGACCUCUGAUGUACUGUUUGCUCUGAUUACUGAAAACUGCAGGGCCCCCAGGCAAAACCAGGAGAGGAGUGCCUGGUUGUAAAGUGUGUUGGAUCUUACCUGCAUUCAGUGCUAUCAACACCAAGAGGAUUGUGUUAGGAUUCCUGGGAAAAUGUAGCAUCAUAAAAUGUAAUGUCUCUGUGCUUCAGAGCAACUGAGGAGGCUUAGGGGAACUUCAGGUGUAGGUAACAAUUUGCUAUCUGAGCUCCACCAAAGCUGCUCAGUGCUGUGUCACCUCUUCUAUUGGAAUAGCACUGUUACAACGCUGAGUUCAGUAAGGAGACUUUGAGGAGAGUUUAAAUUCAACAAAGAAUGGAAAUACAGUCAACUAAACAGCUAUAACUUUCUUUUGUCAUACUGGACAGGAGAGGAGACAGAAACCAUUUCAGGUACUGAAAUACUAGGUGAGAUAGAACUACCUCAAGUUUUGUAACACAAAACUGCUUUUUUAACAGCUUACUAAAAAAAAAAAAAGGCUCUUUCUCUUACUCUAGUCAACUGUGAGUAAAAGCAAUUACCUAAAAGCUUAUUUUUCUAUGCCAGUUAUCAUUAAAAAGAAAAUAAGAGAAACUACAUACCAACAUUUGUUAUAAUUUCAUUAGUAUCCACGUAGAUCUAAUUUAUGUGGAGGUUCUGUUUCCAAGCUGAGGAUCAAAUUAAUCUCAUCUGACAGACAAUUGAGUUACAAAGGCUUUACAUGAGAACGUUUCUCCAACAGAAUGUAAACAAGGCACAUGGAUUAAUAAGGUCAGACAUACAACAGGAAGCUAAGUUAUGGCAGAACUCAUCAGCCAGCAACACAUAUAGCUAGACCUUCCCAAAUGAUGUGAGUUAGCAUGAAAUAAAGCAAAAGUUUUAAAUUAACCCAGUGUUUUACCCUCUGGGCAGUAGAACAAGGAGUUAGAGGAAAUAAGUUUAUAAACCAUAGAAGUAAUAUGACUCUGUGCAGCAAGUUGUAAAGACUUGAAUUUCUCCCAAAGACUUACAGAUUUUUACAGUGUUAAAUAUCACUGUAAUUAUUAAAUCUUGCAUGAAAAACCCAGAGAAACAAACUGUAGCAUAAAUGUAACAUCUGAGACUUAAAAUUUAUAGUCUGGGAACUGACUGAAGCCACAAAAGCAGAAGAGUCAUGUAGCAAAAUGGUGAAAGGGCAUCCCUGCUAAAAUCCUUGUGGAAAGUGCUAAGCAAACUGGAAUAGUUCCAAAAUAUGUAGGUGGGAUUGCUCUUCACAAUACUGGGAUUUACUCCAUUAUUGUCCAAGUGACGCAUCUGAAAUUGCCCACAAUCUACUAGACAUAUUUUAUUGUCAAUACAUUUUGCCCUGGCCUUUUGUCUCUGUGGCUACAUGACCUUAAUUCACCUAAAUUUCUAAAAUGGUGGCAGCAGAGGGUCCUGAUAACAGCACUGCACUUUCCAUGUCCAAAUAUUAUGUAGACUCAUCUGCAUGUUUAGGAGGACAGUGUGUCAUUGCCUUGUAUCAACAUUUUCUUGAUUAAUCUACUGACAAGAGAAAGACACUGCCUUCCCUGCUAUAGGACUGAGCUCUUUCUCUCUGUGACGCUGCCAGUUGCAAAAUGACCUUGAAACUGAUUCCCAAACAUAGAAAAGCACCUAUUUGAAGCCAUGAUGCUUAAUUACAUCAAUCAAUCCAUGAAUCCUGUUUGCACCUACUGUGGCAGAGCAAAUAGGCCUUCUUUCAUUCAACAGUGGAUUAUGGCUAGAUGGGUUUUGUGCAGAUAAAAACACAAGGUUUCCACAUUUGUAUCUGGCAUCUGUAACUAACGGGAUGAUUUCCCCUGAUGCUGUAGUCCACCAUUCUUUUUGACAGAAAAAGGGCUGUUCUUCCUGCCUUUUUAUCUAGAAUAUUGUUUAACUUAAAUAUUGGGUCAGGAUUUGUUCAGUCAAUUCACAGGAGUUGUUUUAAUCUCAAAUACAACCCAAGGCAUUGUAUUGCAGUAUUUUGGUUUUAGAGCAGCCAGUGCCAGCUGCUUCAGCAGAUUUAAGAAGCUCCUUAGAGGACAAAUAUAAAAUAAUAUUGAAUUCUACCUUUGAGCAUUUAGUGAGGGACUGGGCUCUGAAGAACAGUGGUUUAUGACUCCAGCAUUUUUUCAAUCCUGUCUAAAAAUUGUCAGACAUCCCCAUUACCUGCUUAACCAUGUAGUGAUGUUUUGGAUCCUAAAUCUCAACAAUACCUAUUGACAGGGAUUUUGUAGUUUAGCUUAAGGUGUCACCCUUCUCUGCUCUUCCAAAUCUGCCAUUUGCAAUUGUCUUGUUUUCCAUUUCACUGUUUUUUCCCUUAUUUGCCUGCCAUACCAAGAUAUAUGCUGGAGCUCCUAAGCACUUUCUAUCUUCUAGUUUUUUACUCACAACAAUAUGCACUAAAUGUUCCCCCUCCCUCUCUCCUGGCUCCCCAGGGAAGGAAACCCGGUCAUGUUGGCCAAAAGGGAGAUGCUUUACCAGGUACCAUGCAGGUCAGAGCAUCCAGUUCCCCUAAAUCUAGGCACAGCUUUGAUUCCCUUUCUCUGUAUUCUGUUUAGAUAAAAUUCUCUGUAUAAUAUUGUACUUUAACAUAUAAUUCCCUAUAUUUAUCUCUGUCUUAAUCAGUGAAGUAAUUCUCAUAUAAAUACGUUACUAUGCUCUUCAAGAUGAAGCAAAACAUACCAUUGCUCUUUAUUGUCUCCUUAAGAACAUAGGAUAUCCUGUAAUGCCAAACCAGCUGCUCUUUAAUGUUACACAAGGGCCACAGAGCCUAGAAAUUGUGUAAGCACCUAAUUCCCUUAAAAAAAUUAGUCACAAAAAUAGCUCCUGAACUACGUGACCACUUUUAUAAAUGCAGACCAAAGCUUUUCUUUCCAAACAAAGUGUUCUGAAACUUGGUUCUUGGGUUGUGAGUUUGCAAGACAAACAGGACAAUCUCUGUGUCUCACAAGGGUUCUUGUUCCCAAUCAGCAUAAGGAAGAGGCCCUUUCUGGGCCAAGCAGCCAGGAAGAGAGACAGGACUUAACAGCUAACAGGGAAAGAAACCUGUAAAUUGAACUCCACUAGUGCUAGCAAGCCAAAUUACAGGGAUUAUGGAGGACUGCAGGAGGAAAACUGGUGGCUGAAUUUUGAGUUAUGGGAGGAAAUUUUAAAAAGUAUGUUUUAUAGGACACUGAAUAGCACAAAAGAACUAUUGGACCCCAGGCUAACAAUUUUCAAACCACUUUACUGACAGCAUGUCAUAACCAGACCAGAACACAACUAUAAAUAACAGUAGGAAACCUACCUACUGGAGGUAAGUAUGCCAAGGCAGUGAGUCAGUGUUAGUCAUUUGGUACUUUUUUUAAUAAUUGAGGGUUUUACCCAAAUCCUACUGAAAAUCACUCCUCCCUCUGUAGUACCAGGGGGUAUUUUGUGUGUAUAUGUGUGUAUGUAUUUUUUCCUCUCAGAUUUCAUGCCAUCACUUUGCCUGCCCACAACAUUUAACAAACUUUUUAGCAUCCUUAUUAAAAAUUAAACUUGUUUAUUAAAAUAAGUUCCCUCAGAAGUUUCUCAGCAAAGUGUCUCAGCCCUAUGCAAAGCACAAUUAGCACAUGGGACAGAAAGUUGUGUGGAGACAACUUGUACUUUUUUGGUGACCUUAAUUCCCUUCAUCUUUGGCUUGGUACUCCCUCUUCCGAAAAAGAAGUCACGUGUGUGGGGAGCUGCCUAAAGAAUGGAGCAGAGCCCAGGAGGAACACAGGCACUAUGGGCUAUUCUCGGAUCUGCUGUGGCAGGUCUGCAUUCCCAGAAACUGGUUUCUGGAGAACCAAAACAAGGUGUAAGUUAAUAACAUACUUUAUAGGUCAGCUGCAAACCUCUUUUGUCCCAAAUGUGAAGAGCACCAGAUGGUGCAGUAUUAUAGGAAAGUCAGGUUUGGUCACACUGAUUGAUUAAAUUGGAUUUUUUAAGACCCAGGUUGAUCUGAGAAAUCCACAAAUAACAUACAUCCACAGAAGUGUUUUCUCUUUUUUAAGGACAGUGAACUAACAGGGCCACUGAAUUCAGAGUCAGACCUCAUCUUUGUAGGCAUCGCAAGUCCAGUAGGGAGGUAAAUUUGGGUGAGACUAACGUUCUGCAUCAAACUAAAUACCAUCAGGGAGCUUUUUUUGGGGAGUGGAGCUAAGCCACCUAUACCAGCACAGUGUUUCCUAGCCUGGCUUUGGCCUGAGGCAAAGAGCGUGGUCCAGAUGAGUUUGAGCUAAGAAUUGAGAAUUAACAUGUGCCAGGCUGCCUUCCCAGUGGGCAGCCCAGGUGAAGAAGCCAUGCUGCUUUGGAGGCUGCGACUUCAAUAGUAGGGGUGUGGGCCUUUCUCUGCCAGAGAAUGGUUUCAGACAAAUUUAAUUUACUUUAAUAAGUUAAUUUUAAUUUGUAUACAUGGAGCUGUGGAGUGUAGGUGAAACCUUGGAGAGACGGGCACUGCAGCUGCCUUGGCUUUCCUCCUGCCCCAGGGGAUUCAGAUUUCCUUCGUGUUCAUGGAUGCUCUGCUGCUGCACAGGAGGAGCAUGUCUCCUGCUCCCAACUUCCACACAGUGUGGUAGCAAAGGGGGAGGUGUGAGGAAGCAGAGUGGCCAUUGCAGGAGUGGUAUCAACACCCAAAUGCAUCAGCAUUACCCUGCACUGCUGGCUCCCUGCCAGAGGCCCCAGCUACAGAUCAGCUUCUGGGAGGGAAGGAAACCUUUCCCAAAGGAGUAGGACUCAUGUAGAGACUUGCUGUCCUAUCUCUGUGCUGGGGAGAACCUGUGAACCAGGUGUCAAUGACUGAUGAAGGCCACUCUUUAGGCAUAUUUCAGCUUUACUCUGUGUUGAUAAACCCAUCACUACUGACCCACCUGACCCACACAGGUUGGCAGGAUGGGAAAGAUUGUGGUACCUAUGGCUGCACAUGUGCAUCUAAGCGUAUGAACUGUUUGCCAGGUACAAACCCCCACCUGCCUCCUGCUGCUGUACCUUUGCAGUGGCUGUUUUGAGUCAGGACUAAGAAAUCUGCUGAGGACCAGCAUCUCUUGUGUAAACAAACAUGCUUGCAGGCAGGCACUGGGGCCCUAUCAGAAAACAAGGUGAUUGGAACGAUAAAGUACCAGUAUGGUCUUGAAAGAGCUGGGUUUGCUCAGAAUGUGCAGCUUCAUUAAGGGUGUUUUGUGGGUUAAAGCAUGUUUGAGCUAGUAAAAAUAAAUGAGGGGUAGGCCCUGAUGCCCAGGCUACACUCCUAAGCCAAAAUCUUGGAGCCAACAGAGUUCCUACAAGGUGAAGCUGCUGAGCAGAAAUUUCUAAAAUGCUUUAAUUAAACCACAGAGGGGAGCAGGAGAAGGCAGGUAUUUCUCGGGAAGGAGAGCAUCUUGUGGUGUUCCCUCAUGGGAUUUGACUGCGAUGGAUUGGAGAGCGAUGCUUACUUCAGAGAGGACCUCUCGCCCAAAUGUCAGGCUUUGGGACCUUCCUGCAAAGGAGAAAUUCCUGAAUGUUUGAACACUUCAGAAGUUUUCAAGGCCAAUAUUCAACUGUUACAACUCUUGGAAGCAUUGUGAAAGAUAAAGACCACUGAUACGAGCAUGAAUGGGAAACGUACUUUCUAAAAUGCUUUAAUAUAAACAAAUUCUUAAAACCUGUAGGUACCAUUGCAUCCCAAGGAUGGGAUGCAAGGCAAAAAUAAGAAAUAGGGCCUCUCAGGGCACUUUUGAAGUGAUGCAAAUCUGCACCAGGGAAAUCAAGACCAGACCCUACAGACCCUACAGUCAAUUCCAACACUUGUACUUAGGGCUUUUAAUUCCAGAGUUUCUUGAAGGUUGAGUGGACUGUAUGGCAAAAAAGAAGUAUUUUCUGCCCUCCUUCCCUGUGUGCUGGACCUCAGCUGGGCUAAUUCUUUGCAGCUGCCUAGGCAGAGAGCCAGACCCUUCAGGUAGUGGAUUAUGGACAAAAUGGAAGGAGGAGUUUUGGCAUCCUCACAAACAGGACACACUUGUACAGGGGAAAGCCCAGAAAAUACCAAAGUGCCCAAUACUGCUCCCUCACAUGUGCUUUGUAAGAGCCAAGAUAAAGAGCAUCCAGUGAAGUAUAAUGUAACAAUUGGACUCCAAAAGCUAGACCAUGGAGCAGGAGAAGGGAUGUGGCUCAACUCUGCUCUCUUCACUCAGGACACGUGAUACGUAUCUUACAUAGGGACUUUGAUGUCUGUGCUCAGUAAAAUUAGUGUAAGUGUUAAAAACCUCUUUUGUGCUAUAAUCCUGCCACUCUAUGUCAUCCCCCCAUCUUCCCUCCCUCAUGCUGAAUAAACCUCUAAUCCACUGCA